rnacentral:rRNA from 1 species
UACGUAGGGGCCGAGCGUUGUCCGGAGUUAUUGGGCGUAAAGCGCGCGCAGGCGGCCUCGCGCGCCCGACGUGAAAGCCCCCGGCUUAACCGGGGAGGGUCGUUGGGGACGGCGGGGCUUGAGGGCGGGAGAGGGUGGUGGAAUUCCCGGUGUAGUGGUGAAAUGCGUAGAGAGUCGGGAGGAACACCCGUGGCGAAGGCGGCCACCUGGGCCGACCCUGACGCUGAGGCGCGAAGGCGUGGGGAGCGAACGGG